AUUGAACGCUGGCGGCAGGCCUAACACAUGCAAGUCGAACGAGUGGCGGACGGGUGAGUAAUGUCUGGGAAACUGCCUGAUGGAGGGGGAUAACUACUGGAUACGGUAGCUAAUACCGCAUACCAUCAGAUGUGCCCAUAUGGGCUUAGCUAGUUGGUGGGGUAACGGCUCACCAAGGCGACGAUCCCUAGCUGGUCUGAGAUGAUGACCAGCCACACUGGACCUGAGACACGGUCCAGACGCCUACGGGAGGCAGAAGUGGGGAAUAUUGGACAAUGGGCGCAAGCCGGAUGCAGCAAUGCCGGGUGUAUGAAGAAGGCCUUCGGGUUGUAAAGUACUUUCAGCGGGGAGGCGUUACCCGAAGAAGAAGCACCGGCUAACUCCGUGCCAGCAGCCGCGGUAAUAC
rnacentral:rRNA from 1 species